rnacentral:rRNA from 1 species
GCAUAUCAAUAAGCGGAGGAAAAGAAACCAACCGGGAUUGCCUCAGUAACGGCGAGUGAAGCGGCAAGAGCUCAAAUUUGAAAUCUGGCCCCUUUGGGGUCCGACGUUGUAAUUUGCAGAGGAUGCUUCGGGUGCGGUCCCCGUCUAAGUGCCCUGGAACGGGCCGUCAUAGAGGGUGAGAAUCCCGUCUGGGAUGGGGUGGCCGCGCCCGUGUGAAGCUCCUUCGACGAGUCGAGUUGUUUGGGAAUGCAGCUCUAAGCGGGUGGUAAAUUUCAUCUAAAGCUAAAUACUGGCCGGAGACCGAUAGCGCACAAGUAGAGUGAUCGAAAGAUGAAAAGCACUUUGAAAAGAGAGUUAAACAGCACGUGAAAUUGUUGAAAGGGAAGCGUUUUCCACCAGACUCGCCCGGGGGGGUUCAGCCGGCACGUGUGCCGGUGUACUCCUCUCCGGGCGGGCCAGCAUCGGUUUGGGCGGCUGGUGAAAGGCCCCGGGAAUGUGCCACCCUUCGGGGUGCCUUAUAGCCCGGGGUGCCAUGCAGCCAGCCUGGACCGAGGCCCGCGCUUCGGCGAGGAUGCUGGCGUAAUGGUGGUCAACGGCCCGUCUUGAAACACGGACCAAGGAGUCUAACAUCUAUGCGAGUGUUCGGGUGUCAAACCCGUCCGCGCAGUGAAAGCGAACGGAGGUGGGAGCCCCUCGGGGCGCACCAUCGACCGAUCCUGAUGUCUUCGGAUGGAUUUGAGUAAGAGCAUAGCUGUUGGGACCCGAAAGAUGGUGAACUAUGCCUGAAUAGGGCGAAGCCAGAGGAAACUCUGGUGGAGGCUCGCAGCGGUUCUGACGUGCAAAUCGAUCGUCAAAUUGGGUAUAGGGGCGAAAGACUAAUCGAACCAUCUGGUAGCUGGUUCCUGCCGAAGU